GCCAAGCUAGUAUAAAUAGUACUAAUGGCUUACAUCCAUUGAGAGGCUUUUGCAGUGGCCGCUUGGUU
rnacentral:tRNA from 1 species